rnacentral:rRNA from 1 species
GUGUCAGCAGCCGCGGUAAGACGAGGGGUCCUAGCGUUGUUCGGAAUCACUGGGCGUAAAGCGUAUGUAGGCGGCUUUUCAAGUCAGGUGUGAAAUCCCAUGGCUUAACCAUGGAACUGCAUUUGAAACUGUAAAGCUUGAGUAUUGGAGAGGAUGGUAGAAUUCCUGGUGUAGUGGUGAAAUACGUAGAUAUCAGGAGGAAUACCGGUGGCGAAGGCGGCCAUCUGGCCAAAUACUGACGCUGAGAUACGAAAGUGUGGGGAUCAAACAGGAUUAGAUACCCUGGUAGUCC